rnacentral:lncRNA from 1 species
CAACUCCUUCGCACACGUAGUUCUACCCAAAUAUAAAACAAAUACUAUUGCUUAUGUUAGCCUUGUCAGUUGUGUCUUGCAGUUAUGAGAAAUCGUUUUCUGCGCUACGCGCCUUUAAACAUGGAACAGGUCAACAAUGACGAAGUUGAAAUAGCUCGAUUUGGACUGUCAAAAAAGCAGGAUAAACCACAAAAAAACUAUCAACUUCAGGGGGGGGGGGGCUUUCAUUUUAAGUUCGCAAAUUGUUUCCCUUAAACUAAGUAAAAAUAGCUUGUGAAGAGUCAUAAAGCAGGAUAAAGCG